UACUCCUACGGGAGGCAGCAGUGGGGAAUUUUGGACAAUGGGCGAAAGCCUGAUCCAGCCAUGCCGCGUGAGUAAAGAAGGCCUUCGGGUUGUAAAGCUCUUUUGUCCGGGAGGAAAUCCUGACCCCUAAUACGGGUCGGGGAUGACAGUACUGGAAGAAUAAGCACCGGCUAACUACGUGCCAGCAGCCGCGGUAAU
rnacentral:rRNA from 1 species